UCUUCAGAAGAUUUGGAAAAAGAGCAACAUUAAUAUUAGUUUGCUGGUGCUUUUUUUUUUUGGCAUUUGGAGAUUAAAAGUUUUAGUGCAUGCAUUAUGUUGAAAAGAACAGUGAGAAUGUUCGUAAGACGUACAAAUUCAUAUAAAUUAGCUACUAAUUCAUCAAAAUGUAGAAUAGAGGAAACCGGUAUUUGAAGGAACUGACAAAAAUGUACAGUUUUGCUUCAGAAGACUCAGAAGCAGAGUCAUUUGGACCACUUUAAUACCGAUCUGUCAAGUUGAAAAGAUUUGUCAGUUUCUUUCAGAAGUCUGGCUCUUGGCAUUGGCAUUCAGAACUUUCCAGAAGGCCUUGCCGUGAGUCUCCCGUUGAGGGGUUCUGGGGUGUCCACAUGGAGAUCCUUUUGAAAGCAGUGUGUGACGGCCUUCGCCGCAGGAUCCAUGGUAGAUGUGGUGGUUGAUGACAUCAUCAAGGCCAAGUCAGCGGGAAGGGGAAACUGGCCUCCUGGACGUCCAUUCUGGGCUUCAUCAUCAUGCUGUUACUGGAUAUGGGGCUUGACUGAGCCUUUUCAUUGGACAAAUCUUCGAAUGUCAGCUGACUGCAUUGAAAAAAGUGACGGAAGCAGCCUUUCUCCUCGGUGGACAGGUUUGAUCAGUGGGAUAUUUUUCUGCUUA